rnacentral:rRNA from 1 species
UUGAAAGGGAAACGAUUGAAGUCAGUCGUACCGACGUGAAAUCAGCUUAUCGUGUGUUAACUUGUGGGCGUGCGUGAGUUUCGGCCUCGCUGUUUGCAUGUUUGUGCGCUUUGGGUGUACUUUUUCGUAUGGUUGGCCAACAUCAGUUUCGAUUACUAUAAAAUGACUGGCGGAAUGUAGCUUCGAUUUCGGUUGAAGUGUUAUAGCCUCUGGUAGAUGUGGUGAUUGAGACUGAGGAUUGCAACGAAUAUCCUUUGGGCUAUCCGUCUGGCCUCUGAAAGUUGCUUGGGUGCUGAAAGCUUGCUUAUGGUUAUCUAAGUUAACGGUCAAUAGGUUAGAACGUGAUUACAUUCGUUAAGGAUGUUGACGUU